rnacentral:tRNA from 1 species
UCGUUGGUACCGGUGCCUACUGGUGGCGGAGCCGGCCGGUCAACCCGGUGGCCGCCGGUAUUGCCGAUUCCGGUUCAACGGG